UACGGGAGGCAGCAGUGGGGAAUAUUGCACAAUGGGCGCAAGCCUGAUGCAGCCAUGCCGCGUGUAUGAAGAAGGCCUUCGGGUUGUAAAGUACUUUCAGUCGUGAGGAAGGUGUUAAGGUUAAUAACCUUAGCAAUUGACGUUAGCGACAGAAGAAGCACCGGCUAACUCCGUGCCAGCAGCCGCGGUAAUACGGAGGGUGCGAGCGUUAAUCGGAAUUACUGGGCGUAAAGGGCACGCAGGCGGUUAAUUAAGUUGGAUGUGAAAUCCCCGGGCUUAACCUGGGAAUGGCAUUCAAGACUGGUUAGCUAGAGUCUUGUAGAGGGGGUAGAAUUCCAUGUGUAGCGGUGAAAUGCGUAGAGAUGUGGAGGAAUACCGGUGGCGAGGCGGCCCCGUGGACAAGACUGACGCUCAUGUGCGAAAGCGUGGGGAGCAAACGAGGGAUUAGAUACC
rnacentral:rRNA from 1 species